rnacentral:rRNA from 1 species
UACGUAGGGGGCAAGCGUUGUCCGGAUUUAUUGGGCGUAAAGAGCGUGUAGGCGGCCAGGCAGGUCCGUUGUGAAAACUCGAGGCUUAACCUCGAGACGCCGAUGGAAACCCCCUGGCUAGAGUCCGGAAGAGGAGAGUGGAAUUCCUGGUGUAGCGGUGAAAUGCGCAGAUAUCAGGAAGAACACCCGUGGCUAAGGCGGCUCUCUGGGCCGUAACUGACGCUGAGGAGCGAAAGCGUGGGGAGCGAACAGG